UCGGGCGUGGUGAAUGGCGCACACUCCUUCCUAUUUGGCGGGGAUGGAGGAGAGACCGGGUUCGAUUCCCGGCGCCCGAA